rnacentral:lncRNA from 1 species
UUUGAAAUAUAUAUGGAUUAAAAAAUGCUUGAUUUUUCCAGACAAAAGUCAUAUGUUGAAAAGAAUGAUGAAAUGUAUUCUAUUCUUCAGAAAGCAUAUUUUAACAGCCAUGUUUAAAAUUAAUAAUGUAGUAAAUUCUGUGCUAUUUUUAUAUUCUGCUUUACACUUCAGUGUAUUUGAAAAUAUUUGUCCUGUCUGCCUGUUUUUAACUGUGAUGCCGAAUGCUAUCUCUGGUUAUAUUUCACGGAGCCAGGAAAGAGAAAGAAUUUUUCAAAAAUAAUUGACUCGAAGAAAAAAUAGUAUUGUUAAAAAUGGCAUUUUUGGCAUAACCAGAGAAACAAAACCACCUAUUGUCUUUUGGAAUGUAACAGAGAUGGCAGACGGUGCCACCGGGAAAGACUUUAAUACAGACAUAAUUCACUAUUAAACUGAUACAGCCAUCUUCCACAUCUUGACUGUUGCAGGAGAGUCGACGUACUUAUGAUGACCAUUCCCGUGACUAGUUGUGUGUGUGCGUGCAAGAGAACAUCAAUUCCUCCUCCGCCCCAUCCUAACCUAUCCCAUC